GGGUGUAUCUUCUCCCCCCUGACUACUCCCUAUAAACUUUUCUGAACUCUAUACUCAUGGUCAAAGAGGACAAGCUUCCUUGGUAGGGCAGUCCUAGAUUUCUCAAGGGUAUAUGAGUAGUCAUUCUCUCCUGUGAGAACCUCCAAAUAGUCUCUAUGAAACUGCUUAUUGAGCUGCAGAUCAGUACAUGUACAUGUUCAAAGAGAAAAAAAAAGAAAGCCAGGCACUGGUUU
rnacentral:sRNA from 1 species